rnacentral:lncRNA from 1 species
UUAGGCAAAAGCACCAAAGGAGGCUGCCAAUCCUGAAUGGACCAAGCCAGCUUUCACACCUGCAAGCCCCAUUGCUCAGGUGCCUUAGAUAGGGCCAACACCUGCCCCCAUGGUAGCUGCUACUGGGAGUCAGACUUGGUUGCUAGGGUGGUCCUGUCUGGGCUCUGGUACCCACUUACCUGAUUAUUCCUGAGGCCUGUAGCACUCCCUGUUGUUUGGGGGUUGGGGGCUGGGAAGGAUGAGGUCCUGACUUGGGGACCUUAAGGAUGAGAAACUUAACAGAACUGGGGUAGGGAGUGGAGGGAAAAUGCCACUCUUGAACUCCCAGGCAGACUUUACCUCCUGAGUGCAGCCAUAGCAGGGUGCUGCCUGGGGAGCUAUGGAAGCCAGUUUUGUUUAGAGACAUGUGGUAGAACACAAUCCAUGGAGGUGGGGUGAGUUUUGGACAUCUUCAUUACAUCAUCGAAAGAGGGCCCACAUAUGCUUAGCUUACGCCCACCUGCCACUUCCCUGUGACAGCCUUUGGGCUUUGGAGGGCUUAAAGAGGGAAAAGAGGACAAUGGGACUGAAUUGGUGGUCACUGGGUCCUUUGUUCUUCUGUAUAACCCUUUGGAGAUCACCCAGGCUAACUCCCCACCCCAGAAUCUGAUUACCAGGUUUCCUAGGAGCCCUGGAGGCGGAGAGGCUGUAUAUCUAGAAUUUACUGCCAUCCAUGUCAUACUCAAUAACCUGUCUGGGUACCUGCCCACCUUAGCCUGAGGCAUAUGCAUGCAGGAGGCCCUAAUCCUGACCCAGGCAGAGCACAGUGGCUGUAAGGAAUGUCCCUAAUAAAGGACACUGAGGUCUGCUGAAGGCUGGCCAGGUUCUGGCUGUGGAAUCUUCCUGUGGGGCCUAAGUCCUGCCUGAUGGAGAUUUUCCCCAAGUCCCAGGACCCAAGGUCAGGAUGGGAGGGACAGGGAUGCAGGAAUGUAGGUCCCUGGGGAGGGUAGGGAUUUGGAAGUACUCACCUAAGGGAGGUAAAAGGUCGCUUUAUCAUGGAUGCCUUUAUCGCUGAGGGCCAAGGCUAAGGCUGAAGUUGGACUAGCACCUGGAGUCAUCUGGCCUCAGUUCUUGGGGGUCCCUGCUGCUUUUCAAUGUCCAGGGCAGCGGUGUUCAUGGGCAGGUGGGCUCCAAAGGGGUAGACUGGGAAGGCAUGGCUCAUGAAGCCUGAUUAUCUGAGGUGGAUCACAUGUACCUGAUUGUUCUCAAGGUCCAGAGAAAGAUGAUAUGACUGUUGGAGUAAAGCUUGCCAAAACCAGCAGCUUCCUGUGUGGUCCUUACAAGAAG